GUGACGGUUAUUGCGUUUGACAACACAAGUCAAGAUGCAUAUUAGAUGCUGCUGCUUCUUCAAGAUGUCGCACUUUUCCCCCUCACACAAGUGUUGCUUCAACUUCAGAAUAAGUGGCCUGCUAACUGAAAAUAUAUGAAGCCUUGAUCCAGUGGACUUUACCAAAUGCCUUGCCAAAAACCAAGUGAAGUGGUAAGUGCUGUAUUUAAUCUCUAUGUCAUGAGGAAAACAUCCAAUCCAU
ensembl:processed_transcript